AUUUGCAGGCUAUCUACACCUCCUCCUAUAUCUUUUUCCCUUGCAGAUCUUAAAAAACAUUCAACAAAAAGUAGACCAGAGGGCAGCACCUUGAGUCCCAUCCUGUUCUGAAGCACAGCAGUGGUAAAGACAGAGGAUUUUUAGGAACUGAGACAACCAGAGCAAGAGAAUGUGACUCCUUGCCCCGGGGGGUGGGUUGCUCAACUGGAAGUUUAUUUCAGAACAGAAGAAAGAAAGAAGAGAAUAAAGAACAAAAUGGUCUUUUCUUCUUUUUACCACAG